rnacentral:tRNA from 1 species
GGGGAUGUAGUUUACUGGUAGAGAACUUGUCUAGCAUGCUUGAAGCUCUGGGUUCAAUCCCUAGCACCCCCG